GAAGUAAAAACAGUAGCGAGAGCUCCCGCGGCUCUUCCGCCCGGCUGAGACGUAACGGGGCGUCGAGAGUCGAAUCGUUCUAAAGGUUCCGCCCCCCCCCCCCCCCGCCUGCCGCUGCUGAACACAGGAGGCCGUUGGAAAAAUGGAAACGUGGAGGUCAUCCGACAGCUCCUCUGGUUCUCUAUCAAUAAGGUUGAGGACUUCAAGGCAAUUCCUGAUGUUCUCCUUGAAAAUGGCUGGUAUAUGCUCAAGAUCAUAUUGUGGAAUCUGGAAAUCUAAUGAGACCUCAGCACAUUAAAUAUGACUACAGAGUAACAGCUGUAUAAAAGGAAGAACUGUCCAACGUCAUGAUCUGAGCACAAACUCCGCCACAUAUGUUAAACAGUUAUUGUGUACGACGGAAUGAGCUUAAUUGUAUUUAGCCAUGCUGUAAUUUGCAAAAGGAUUGUUCAACAUGC